AGGAUGAACGCUGGCGGCGUGCUUAACACAUGCAAGUCGAACGGUGAAAGAGGAGCUUGCUCCUCUGGAUCAGUGGCGAACGGGUGAGUAACACGUGAGUAACCUGCCCCAGACUCUGGGAUAAGCACUGGAAACGGUGUCUAAUACCGGAUACGAGCUUCAGCCGCAUGGCUAGGAGCUGGAAAGAAUUUCGGUCUGGGAUGGACUCGCGGCCUAUCAGCUAGUUGGUGAGGUAAUGGCUCACCAAGGCGACGACGGGU
rnacentral:rRNA from 1 species